rnacentral:lncRNA from 1 species
UUGCAAAUUAUAUAAAUGCAUCAUUAUAAAAUGUUUUCUCUUGUCAGGUGUUGUGACAAUGACAGCCCAGGCCUCUCACUUUCAUCCGGACAUCAUCACCUUCCGCUGGUUCUGUGAGGGUGGGGAGCUGAGCCCCGUGUCCUUCCCGCAGGCGCUGGCAGCCCCUCGACCUGAUGCUGAAGGCUUCUUUUCGGCCAUGAGCCAGUGCAGACUGCCCACAGCAGAGCUAGAGAGAGGAGAAACCAGAGUGUGGGUCGCCGUUCACCACACGGCCCUAAAACAGCCCAUCACACGCGAAACUAGAGGGUUCAUGAAAAAGCCCACCGUUUCAGAGAUCAUCUCCUCUGCUCUUGCGUCUGCUGAGGAGGGACCUUUGACCCUCGCCUGCGACAUAACUGGUUUCUACCCUCUUGAAAUCUCUGUCAAAUGGCUGCAUAUAAAAGGGAAUUGGACUGAGGAGGGAGAGGACAGAGAAAGGGAAAUCAAAGAGGGAGCUGAGCUAUGGGGCCCUUUGCAAACUCUGCCCAGGACAUUUAGAGCAAAAGCAUUACUUAAAGAGCUGGAUGAGAUGGCAAGGGGAGGUGAGAUCGUUUGCAGAGUGACACACUGCUCCCUACUGAAGCCCAUUGAGAGAGUCUGGAAAAAUACUCAUAUCGUUGCUCCCUCCAUCCCUUGUUCUCUGACGGUUUGCUGGAGCAGAGAUGGUGUGGGAAUAUUCUCCGUUCUUCUCUCUGGAGGAAAACCCACGGCUGAAGUUCUCUGGGCUGCUGGUGGCACGACCGUCUCCAAGCUUUUGUCAAGAGAGAGAGAGAGAGAAAACAGCGAGGGGAAACCAGAGCUCAAGAGCGUUUGUGUUCUGGUGAGAUCUACAGGACGACAGGAAAGUGACAGUCGCAGAGGAGGACAUGCACGCAGAAUCAGGCCGCCUAGUGUGGACUGUAAUGCCGAAUGUGAAAAGAUGAAUGAAUGUGUGGACAGAAUGAAAUCCGUACUAGAGGACAAACAGCUGAAUGAGCAUAUGGAGGAGAAUGAUGAGGAUGAGGAUGUGGAUCCAUCCUAUAUAAACACUGUGAGAUUGAGGAAAGAGAAGAAAGAGCAUCUGAGAGUUACUGUGGAAAUUACCCAUCCUGCACUGAGAUUCCCUGCGUAUCUUACCUGGACAGAGCCUGCAGAGGAAGCCUCAUCAUGAUGACUCGCAGUUAUUUAGAAAUCUACAUCUUCUCUUGACGCCACCUCCACCUCCACCUAUGAGCUCAUGAAAUUUAUACUGAAGUUUUGCUGUUGUAUUUUUUUUUUCUUAAAAAAUAAAAUGUUUUCUUUUACUACUAAUAUGAUGCAUGAAACACAAUAUUAGGUGUUCACUUCACUCUGAAUGAUCUGCCA